rnacentral:rRNA from 1 species
GACGAACGCUGGCGGCGUGCCUAACACAUGCAAGUCGAACGGAGUUAAGACUUCGGUUUUAACUUAGUGGCGAACGGGUGAGUAGCGCGUGAGAAACCUGCCUUUCAGUGGGGGACAACAGUUGGAAACGACUGCUAAUACCGCAUAAUGUAUUUUGACCGCAUGAUCGAAAUACCAAAGCUUUAUGUGCUGAAAGAUGGUCUCGCGUCUGAUUAGCUAGUUGGUGAGGUAACGGCUCACCAAGGCGACGAUCAGUAGCCGGUCUGAGAGGAUGAACGGCCACAUUGGGACUGAGAUACGGCCCAGACUCCUACGGGAGGCAGCAGUGGGGAAUAUUGGGCAAUGGGGGAAACCCUGACCCAGCAACGCCGCGUGAAGGAAGAAGGCCUUCGGGUUGUAAACUUCUUUUACCAGGGACGAAGAAAUGACGGUACCUGGAGAAAAAGCAACGGCUAACUAC